UAUAAGGUAGAUGAUUGCAAAAGAAACGAAAAGGCGUUCACCAGAAAAACCAUGCUAUUACGGCUAACGAUAUUAGCAUAGUACCUGAAGCACAAAAAAGCGAUGGUUGUUUAGACCAUGAAGCCGAAGAUCCUUCGAUGGGAACACAAACGCCGUUAUAGCAUAAACCGCCGCGACAUCGAGUCCCAUCAAUGUAGUCUUUGGCGCUGAUAAAACAAGUUCCGUCUUCGUUUUGACAAGACACCUUACAACUAUCAGAAUGACACGACAAACUGCUAAAGUUGGUAAGUUUCUUGCAUUGACGUGACGCAGAUGUACAAACACCAGAUGCACACGAGCCCAUCCCUAGACUAUCUUGACAAAUCCUUCCAUCAUCCCAGUUUUCAUCUACGGGACACUUGGAUGAUAUUCCUGUACAGAAUUCAGGCUUGUCGCAAGGGUUUGUUGAUUGCCUACAUAAAGUACCGGCAUUUUUAAAAUGACAUUGAUAACAGCAGGCAUCCUGCUGGUCAUCACACAAUGAACCUUUCGUAAGCUUACAUGUUUUCCCGUCGCAACAAGGGUUAUUUUCACAAUCCUCUCCACAAUCGCAUUCUUCACCAUCUUCAACGAUGCCGUUUCCACAUGUUCCUUAAAUAAUGUUAGUUAAAAUAUCACAAUCGAAAUGAAUAACGAGCAAACUAACAAAGGCUUCCACUUACCAAGUCGUAAAACAGACUUUUCAGAAGGUUUGGAAAGGCACGAAAGUGAUACAUAUUUCUUUUCUACCAAAGAGUGUAAUUGCAAAAUAGAACAAUCACUGAAUCUAAGGUUGGCAUAUGUGUAUGAGUUAGAGGGGUUCAUUAUAUAUAAUUCUUGAGCAUCGCAAAGCGAACUGGAAAGUGGGCAACAAGCCUCCGAAUGAUCCCCACAAGAUUUUUUAUUGCAGUCGUGAAUCAAACCCAAUAUGUGUCCUAUUUCGUGCGCGACAACUAACCUGUCAUUUGGGUAAGCGGACACAACACUUAAUGGUCCAACAUGCCAUUCAUUUUCAAUGUGCGUUUCGGAACAAAUAGUAGCAAACCAAGAUACUCCAUGAGGGCUUCUUUUGACAGAGCUAGUAAACAAUACCGAAACCUGGGGUUCCGAUGGAAAUGAUUCUCGCUCAUGUGGUGAAAUUGCUUCAAAAACAUUAUUGCCUGGAGAUUCAUACUUCCAUUUACUAAAAAUUUCUAGCUUUUCCUCUAUAGAGAUGCGCGGAGACAUGCUGAUUUCAGGUCGAUCAACAACAUUAGCUGAACAAUCGUGUGCUGAAGGAAGAAUUAAACUAUGGAUUUGAACGUUGAUAUUAAAAGAAUCUUCAUAAAGGGUUGAAACACCUUCAAAUUCCUGAAAAAUAUGUUUUUUGGCUUCCAUGCGACUCGUAAAAUGAGUAACAUAUGAACAGUCAGCUACAACACCUAUCCAUAAGGUUUGAAGUGCAGGAAAUAACGAACUGACGGGAAGAGACAUGGUAGAUUUAGAUCCAUAAUCAUACAGCCUGUUUUCAUUCCAUUUACUUAGAUUGUUUUUAGUACGAGAAAGUAAAUUCUCGUCAGAAUGUGCUAAAAUAAUCUCAGCGUAUGAUGAUACCGC
rnacentral:lncRNA from 1 species